rnacentral:rRNA from 1 species
GAUGAACGCUGGCGGCGUGCCUAAUACAUGCAAGUCGAGCGAACGGACGAGAAGCUUGCUUCUCUGAUGUUAGCGGCGGACGGGUGAGUAACACGUGGAUAACCUACCUAUAAGACUGGGAUAACUUCGGGAAACCGGAGCUAAUACCGGAUAAUAUUUUGAUCUGCAUGGUUCAAAAGUAAAAGACGGUCUUGCUGUCACUUAUAGAUGGAUCCGCGCUGCAUUAGCUAGUUGGUAAGGUAACGGCUUACCAAGGCAACGAUGCAUAGCCGACCUGAGAGGGUGAUCGGCCACACUGGAACUGAGACACGGUCCAGACUCCUACGGGAGGCAGCAGUAGGGAAUCUUCCGCAAUGGGCGAAAGCCUGACGGAGCAACGCCGCGUGAGUGAUGAAGGUCUUCGGAUCGUAAAACUCUGUUAUUAGGGAAGAACAUAUGUGUAAGUAACUGUGCACAUCUUGACGGUACCUAAUCAGAAAGCCACGGCUAACUACGUGCCAGCAGCCGCGGUAAUACGUAGGUGGCAAGCGUUAUCCGGAAUUAUUGGGCGUAAAGCGCGCGUAGGCGGUUUUUUAAGUCUGAUGUGAAAGCCCACGGCUCAACCGUGGAGGGUCAUUGGAAACUGGAAAACUUGAGUGCAGAAGAGGAAAGUGGAAUUCCAUGUGUAGCGGUGAAAUGCGCAGAGAUAUGGAGGAACACCAGUGGCGAAGGCGACUUUCUGGUCUGUAACUGACGCUGAUGUGCGAAAGCGUGGGGAUCAAACAGGAUUAGAUACCCUGGUAGUCCACGCCGUAAACGAUGAGUGCUAAGUGUUAGGGGGUUUCCGCCCCUUAGUGCUGCAGCUAACGCAUUAAGCACUCCGCCUGGGGAGUACGACCGCAAGGUUGAAACUCAAAGGAAUUGACGGGGACCCGCACAAGCGGUGGAGCAUGUGGUUUAAUUCGAAGCAACGCGAAGAACCUUACCAAAUCUUGACAUCCUUUGACAACUCUAGAGAUAGAGCCUUCCCCUUCGGGGGACAAAGUGACAGGUGGUGCAUGGUUGUCGUCAGCUCGUGUCGUGAGAUGUUGGGUUAAGUCCCGCAACGAGCGCAACCCUUAAGCUUAGUUGCCAUCAUUAAGUUGGGCACUCUAAGUUGACUGCCGGUGACAAACCGGAGGAAGGUGGGGAUGACGUCAAAUCAUCAUGCCCCUUAUGAUUUGGGCUACACACGUGCUACAAUGGACAAUACAAAGGGCAGCGAAACCGCGAGGUCAAGCAAAUCCCAUAAAGUUGUUCUCAGUUCGGAUUGUAGUCUGCAACUCGACUACAUGAAGCUGGAAUCGCUAGUAAUCGUAGAUCAGCAUGCUACGGUGAAUACGUUCCCGGGUCU